CUCUUCUGUGAACCUAGAUCUUUGGAUACAGUGCACAGUGGUGCACUUGUUUCAAUCCAGAUCUCAAGGGAGUAUAAACAAGGCAUCCAUGGUGCUUAGCAGGAUGGGUCUGGGCACGUGUGCUUCCCAGUGUCCAACCACAGAAGCAGUGAGAGGAUGAAACCACACAGAGGCUGCCGCGUCAACAUCUUCCUCCACCUGACUGCCAGGUCAAGGCUGCAUGUAGCAAGGGUGACAUGGGUUGGUGGCCGUGCCCACAUCCUCAUCAGGAAUGGCCUUUUUGGUGAUGUCUUCCUUUCUUCCUUGGCUUUUGAAAGGCACAGUUGCUGCUAUCACUGAUUCAGGCACAAGUCAACUUGCUCACCUUUUUUGAGUUCUGCUCUGUGGAUACCCUACAGCCUGAGCUACAUGGUGGUGGUUGAUGUUCAUCUACUCCUCCCCAAAGAUGGACUAGAAGUAGCACAUACACAACUAUUACAUAUUCAUACAGCCAGAUCUGUGUGGGAGAGAGCUGUAACUGGGAGAACAGCAGCACAUAACAAUGGC